AUGUUUUUACCAUGUCCUUUUUCUUGUCUUUCUCUUACUAUUAUUUCUCACUAUUUAUUCACAACAUUGCAAAUUCAUGGAUACCCACCUUCUCUUCUCUUCCUCAUAGAGUCAAACCCUUAUUCAUCUUCUUCCGCCUCCCACUUCAACCCUUUACAUCACUCUCAAAACCUGCAUCAUAAUCAUCUUCUUCAGGAAAACUAA